rnacentral:rRNA from 1 species
UACGGAGGGCGCGAGCGUUAAUCGGAAUUACUGGGCGUAAAGCGCGCGUAGGCUGUUGUGUAAGUUGGGGGUGAAAUCCCACGGCUCAACCGUGGAACAGCCCUUGAUACUGCGCGACUUGAAUCCGGGAGAGGGUGGCGGAAUUCCAGGUGUAGGAGUGAAAUCCGUAGAUAUCUGAAGGAACAUCAGUGGCGAAGGCGGCCACUUGGACCGGUAUUGACGCUGAGGCGCGAAAGCGUGGGGAGCAAACAGG